rnacentral:rRNA from 1 species
GACGAACGCUGGCGGCGUGCUUAACACAUGCAAGUCGAACGGUGAAGCGCCUUCCUUUUUGGUGGGUGUGGAGGAGUGGCGAACGGGUGAGUAACACGUGAGUAACCUGCCCCCUGCUUCUGGAUAACCGCAUGAAAGUGUGGCUAAUACGGGAUAUUCUGGGUCUGUCGCAUGAUGGGUAUGGGAACGAUCUUGUUUCGGUUGGGGUUGGGCUCGCGGCCUAUCAGCUUGUUGGUGGGGUGCUCGACUACCAAGGCGGUGACGGGUAGCCGGCCUGAGAGGGUGGACGGUCAGACUGGGACGGAGACACGGCCACGACUCCUAUGAGAGGCAGCAGAGGGGAAUAUGGGACAAUGGGCGGAAGACUGAUGCAGCGACGCCGCGUGAGGGAUGGAGCCCUUCGGGUUGUGAACAUCUUGCGCCAGUGAAGCAGGCCUGCCUCGUUUGUGGGUGGGUUGACGGUAGCUGGAGAAGAAGCGCCGGCUAACUACGUG